GCGGGCGGCCAGGGCGCGCGUGCGCGGAGGUUCUCCUCGUCCGCCCGUUGUUCAGCGAGGGAGGCUCUGCGCGUGCCGCAGCUGACGGGGAAACUGAGGCACGGAGCGGGUGAGACACCUGACGUCUGCCCCGCGCUGCCGGCGGUAACAUCCCAGAAGCGGGUUUGAACGUGCCUAGCCGUGCCCCCAGCCUCUUCCCCUGAGCGGAGCUUGAGCCCCAGACCUCUAGUCCUCCCGGUCUUUAUCUGAGUUCAGCUUAGAGAUGAACGGGGAGCCGCCCUCCUGUGCUGGGCUUGGGGCUGGAGGCUGCAUCUUCCCGUUUCUAGGGUUUCCUUUCCCCUUUUGAUCGACGCAGUGCUCAGUCCUGGCCGGGACCCGAGCCACCUCUCCUGCUCCUGCAGGACGCACAUGGCUGGGUCUGAAUCCCUGGGGUGAGGAGCACCGUGGCCUGAGAGGGGGCCCCUGGGCCAGCUCUGAAAUCUGAAUGUCUCAAUCACAAAGACCCCCUUAGGCCAGGCCAGGGGUGACUGUCUCUGGUCUUUGUCCCUGGUUGCUGGCACAUAGCACCCGAAACCCUUGGAAACCGAGUGAUGAGAGAGCCUUUUGCUCAUGAGGUGACUGAUGACCGGGGACACCAGGUGGCUUCAGGAUGGAAGCAGAUGGCCAGAAAGACCAAGGCCUGAUGACGGGUUGGGAUGGAAAAGGGGUGAGGGGCUGGAGAUUGAGUGAAUCACCAGUGGCUUAGUCAACCAUGCCUGCACAAUGGAACCCCGUAAGAAACCACAGGGAUCAGAGGGCUUCCCGCCGGGUUGUGGAACACACCAAGGCACUGGAGGGUGGUGCGAGCAGAGAGCACAGCAUCACUGCCCCCACCUCACACCAGGCCCUACGCAUCUCUUCCAUACGGCUGUCUGAGUUUUAUCCUUUGUAAUAAACCAGCAACUGUAAGAAA
rnacentral:lncRNA from 10 species